rnacentral:rRNA from 1 species
AUUCCAGCUCCAAUAGCGUAUAUUAAAGUUGUUGCAGUUAAAACGCUCGUAGUCGGAUUUCGGGGCGGGCCGACCGGUCUGCCGAUGGGUAUGCACUGGCCGGCGCGUCCUUCCACCCGGAGACCGCGCCUACUCUUAACUGAGCGGGCGCGGGAGACGGGUCUUUUACUUUGAAAAAAUCAAAGUGUUUCAAGCAGGCAGUCGCUCUUGCAUGGAUUAGCAUGGGAUAAUGAAAUAGGACUCUGGUGCUAUUUUGUUGGUUUCGAACACCGGAGUAAUGAUUAACAGGGACAGUCAGGGGCACUCGUAUUCCGCCGAGAGAGGUGAAAUUCUCAGACCAGCGGAAGACGAACCACUGCGAAAGCAUUUGCCAGGGAUGUUUUCAUCA